UACAGAGGGUGCAAGCGUUGCUCGGAAUUAUUGGGCGUAAAGGGUAGGUAGGUGGUCUCAUUUGUCAGGGGUGAAAUCCUUGGGCUUAACCCAAGAAGUGCCCCAGAAACGGUGAGACUAGAGUCUUGGAGAGGGUCGUGGAAUUCCCGGUGUAGCGGUGAAAUGCGUAGAGAUCGGGAGGAACACCAGAGGCGAAGGCGGGUCUCUGGACAGUUCCUGACGCUGAGGCACGAAGGCCAGGGGAGCAAACGGG
rnacentral:rRNA from 1 species